rnacentral:rRNA from 1 species
UACGGAGGAUGCGAGCGUUAUCCGGAUUUAUUGGGUUUAAAAGGUGCGUAGGCGGGCUUUUAAGUCAGCGGUAAAAAUUCGGGGCUCAACCCCGUCCGGCCGUUGAAACUGGGGGCCUUGAGUGGGCGAGAAGAAGGCGGAAUGCGUGGUGUAGCGGUGAAAUGCAUAGAUAUCACGCAGAACCCCGAUUGCGAAGGCAGCCUUCCGGCGCCCUACUGACGCUGAGGCACGAAAGUGCGGGGAUCGAACAGG